GGGCGAAUGGUCUAGGGGUAUGAUAUUCGCUUUGCAUGCCUGCGUUCUUCGCAAUUAAAUAGGUGCUUGCGAAGGGUCCGGGGUUCAAUUCCCCGUUCGUCCA